GAGGGAAGAUCGGGUACGGGGAUUCCCCCAAUGUUAACGAUAAGGAAGCAAAUUUGCAUCUUCCUUAAUGUUGUUUGAAUCACUCAUCAUUUUCUGAACCUCCAUUUAUUUGAGGACUUAAAGCCAAUUAACCUGCUUAUAGUGUGAAGACAGUGUUUUGGUCAAAGUUGUGUGCUUGACUGACAAAGAUGAAUUUGUCACUUUUG
rnacentral:lncRNA from 1 species